UUUCUGUUUCCUCUUGAAGACACCAAGGGCCCUUCAAAACACACGACGAUCCUGCUCACCACAUAAAGUCCAGUUCCCUCUGGCCUCUGUAGGUUGGCUAUCACCAAGGAACCUGUGCCUCCUCUGAGACAAAGGCACCACUUCAGUAACAGCUCCAGGGAAUGAGCCAAGGUACCAAUGGACUACUUUUUGGGAAGCUCUGGAAAGCUCACUGAACAGUUUUCUAACAACUCUGCCAGGUAAGUCUUCUUGUCCCCAGUUCUAGAGAAGAAAACUGAGGCCCCAAAAAAGACUUUCCCAAUUCCAUGAUUGGCUAGGUGGUGCCCAAAGCACUAUUAGAAUUCUACAUUGUCUGAUUCUUUCCACUCUACCAUAUCCAUUGGCAAUGAUUGCUGCUUUGGCUAAAAAAAAAAAAAAAAAGCCACGCUUCUGAGUGGCUUGGGAUAAAUUGUGUAGGUAGCAUGAAAAAUGGAGGAAUGGAAAAUACAUGUUAGAUCCUUAGGUUUGAAAUCAGUCUAAGAUUUCAAUUUAGAAGGCCAUGUCACCCCCUUAUCAGCAUACAUUCAACUAAAAGAGUUAAUAAAACAAAAACAUACUUUUUUUUCUGAAAGAGAAGCUUUCUGACUUGUUUUAGCUGGGAUAGGACCUUAUGGCCUCAUGGGGCAGUUUUCUAUUCUUGAUAACCUUGGAAUGUGUACCACUUUUCAUGUCAGUAUUUAAUAUUGCCAACUACUUUCUUACAGAUCAACUGCCACUGCUAAGAAGGGGGUAAAUUUGACUCAGACAACUGGAAUAUUUAGCAAUAGAAUCUGGGUGUUGUCAAAGGAAUUCUCCCAGAAUUUCCAAGCCUAUCCAUUCUCCUGGCAGCUUCCUUAUUUCUCCUAUGGUUGUGGGUUGAAGUAUUCCAAUGCCUCACUGUGGAGACAACUGCCUGUCCUUUUCCUUUCUUGUGGAUGUAUCCACUUUUUCCCAGAGGGACAAGUACAGGAAGGAGGUGAAAUGACUGAUGAGUAAAUCUGGAAGGCAAAAUGGGUUGGUAUAUGGCAAGACUCCAAACUGUGAACAACUUGUAUGACCUUUAGAAACUUUCUUCCCUAACAUAAGCCUCCAUUUCCUCAUUUAUAACAUGAGUAGAUGAGACUAGAUGCUAGUUCUUUUUAUAGCUGCCUUUCUGGAGUCUUGAUGGUACAAGGUGAUCACAUUAGGUAAGGCUGAGGCUCUCAGAAAUUUGUGUUUCAUCUGUCCUGACCUUGUUAAAUCAAUUGUCACUGACCCUUGCUUUCUUUCUGUCAGCACAACCACCAUUUUUUGAGAACUUGUGUAUCAAAUACUGAACUAAGGACUUUAAAUCACAUUAUCUCAUGUCAUUCUCACUUUAACUUAUUAGGUACAUAGUGUACUUAUAACACAUUUUGAGGAUGUGGAAAAACAAGUUCAAAGAAAUGAAAUUGUUUAUCCAAGGUUUCCCAGAUAAUUAAUGGCAGACCCAGGAUUCAAGCCCAUGUUUGACUUCAAUGCUGAAGUUCAUACCCACAACACUGUAGAACAUUGUCUGGGAGGGCUGGGUAGAUGAGACAUGACACUGACUCUGGGACCUGAUUCCUUCCUGAGGGGAGUGAAGCAGGAUGAUAGCCAAAUUGUUCUCUCUAUGCUACAUAGAAGAUCCCACUAAAGCUCAAGACCCCCAACAUGCUAUAAGACUCAGGCCUGAGGAAUCCCCAGCUGAGCACUGGGGCCUCGCCUGAACUCUCAAUGGAGUGUUCCCUACUUACCCUCAGAUCCUUCUUUUUCUUCUUCUUUUUUUUUCUGUCAACAGACAGUUUAUUCUAUAGAUCCCUCUUUUGAUUAGAAGCUUUAUGUCUAUUUUACUCACUUCCUUAUUAUGGUGCUUCAGCUAAUCCCAACAGCCUGUGAAGUUUCCCUGAGGUUCAGGGUGUGACUCUUUUUCUUUCUCUCUAGGGCCACAUCUCCUACGAAGAUCUCGCCUCCCCACUGAAGACCCUGGCCCAGCCUUCUGCAGUGCCACGCUCCGUGUAUUUGACAAGCUGAGUUGGACACUCCGUGUGGCAGAGUGUCAGUUUGUCAAAUACCCCAAGUGCGGCAUGUGCCUAGCAACUUCAGGCCAGGGCACUUCAGAUACAACAAAUAGACUAUCAGCUGGAUAAGGAACAUACGGAAAACACCAACUAAGCUCUCACAAUUUAUUUUUGGUAACUUUGAGGGAAUGUAAGCAUUUUAUCUGAGGUUACUAAUGGAAAAAUCAGGCAGCUCUGGGAGCCACAGUCCUGGGUGGGUUCUGCACACACUGUGGGAGUCUGAGGUGGGCACAGUUGUCUUAAAAAGGUAUCCAGGGCCUGGAAAUGUAAGUGCUACUUGAUUCAUUGUUUUUUCCUUCACAUUCCCCUUCCAGCAUCUGCCAGCAAAGACACCAGAAGUCUCAGACAAGUGCCAUGGCAAGGCUUAGAAACCCACUUUCCUGAAAGCCAGCCUUGGCUCUAAACACACUUUGACAUCACCCAUCUCUCUUUUGCUUUUUCUCCUUCUGAGAAUACCCUCUACAUUUCUUUCCACCUAUCCAAUUCCUUUCCAUAUUUCCUCGCCUAGCCAGAAUCCAGUCUCUCCAGUGACUUUUGAAAGUCAAAUUACACUUUCUUUUUUCCUUCUCAAAUCACUUUUUGCCUGGUUCCUUUUAUGUACUCCUUUAUCUCCUACUGCCCAAUGAUAGCACUUGAAUUGUUAGUGAACUUUUCCAGAGGAUAUUUUUGAAUUCCCCACUAGGUUGUGUGCUUCUAGAGGACAAGACUGUGUUUCCUUGAUUGCUGUCUCUAUUCCACCUCAAACCCAACCACUAGCACAAUGUUCUGGUUGUAGAAAAUACUCAAUAAAUGUUCAUUGAUUGAUU